GUCAGUUCGGUGUUAAAGGACCACUAUAGUGCCCUGAGGGUGCCCCCUCCCGCCGGGCUCUGGGGAGAGGUAGGGGUUAAAAUCUUACCUUUCUCCAGUGCCGGGCGGGGAGCUCUCCUCCUCCUCUCCUCCUUCAUAGCGACGUCAUCGGCUGAAUGCGCAUGCAUUCAUGUAAAAAAAAAAAAGGGGGUUAACCCUAGCUGGACCUGGCACCCAGACAACUUCAUUAAGCUGAAGUGGUCUGGGUGAAUAUAGUGGUCCUUUAAUGCAUGCCAGGCUGCCUGUCAAUCAUCCAGUCGACCAUGCAUGGAGUAUUGUUUUAGAGUCCUACAUUUCCUGGGCAUAGCACGAGUGAGACUAAUGAAACGCUUGUUGGAGACCAUUCCCUGUCCGUCUACCUUUUUGUAACGGAUCAGUUUUUAAAAAACUUAAACACAUCACCUAUCUUCAAACUUCACACUCUAAAUUUACUAAAUCUAAGUAGUUCACUAAUCCUAAAAGCUGCAAUGAAAGCCAAACCGAACACAACUAAGAACAAAUAAUUGCUAUGCUUCAUUGUUAUGAAAAUCAUGCUGCAAAUGACAACCAUUAGAAUGUUGCAAGAAAUGUUUCCACACUUGCAAAUACUUUAUAAUCUCUGCUGACACCCUAAAAAAAAUGUUUUCCUUGCACAGGCCAAAGGCAUCUUUCUGCACAAUAUUCUUAUUGGCAUGACUCAACCUGCAAAACCCGGU